CAGUGCCGCGGUAAUACAGAGGGUGCGAGCGUUAAUCGGAUUUACUGGGCGUAAAGCGUGCGUAGGCGGCUUCUUAAGUCGGAUGUGAAAUCCCUGAGCUUAACUUAGGAAUUGCAUUCGAUACUGGGAAGCUAGAGUAUGGGAGAGGAUGGUAGAAUUCCAGGUGUAGCGGUGAAAUGCGUAGAGAUCUGGAGGAAUACCGAUGGCGAAGGCAGCCAUCUGGCCUAAUACUGACGCUGAGGUACGAAAGCAUGGGGAGCAAACAGGAUUAGAUACCCCCGUAGCCCUGUCUCUUAUACAC
rnacentral:rRNA from 1 species